CUGUGAUAGUUGUUGUUUGUUUUCUUUUUUGUAAGAGAUAAAUUUCAGAACUCUUAGAAUAAAUUAAAUAUUUGGAAUAAUGUUCACACAUAGUUAUAACAUUGCAGAAUAGCUUAAACUAUCUACUGAAAUAUCUCAAAAAUGAUUUUUAAUACUAUUUAGAAAAGUAAUUUUAUUUUCCUUUUUACUUCUUGUAAAAAAUCAAAUAAUUUUACAUUCUGCUCUUUUUUUUUUUUUUUUUA